rnacentral:tRNA from 1 species
GGCGAUGCAGCUCAGUGGUAGAGCGCUUGCCUAGAAUGAGCAAGCCCUGGGUUCCAUCCCCAGUUCCACCU